GUGGGUAUAACUCAGUGAUGGAGUGUGUGUUUAGCAUGCACAUGGUCCUGGGUUCAAUCCUCAGUAUCCCCG
rnacentral:tRNA from 1 species